UCCUCACUGCCUCCUUCCCGCUGCCUGUGGCUGGUGAGUCUCAGCCCCGCCGCCGCCUCCUCACUUCUCCUCAGUUCGCUCCGGAGUUCGCCUUAGUCCAGGCUGCGCUGGUAGCAGCGGCGGCGGCGGCAGGGGAGGGGGCAGGACACGCGGGGGGGAGGGGAAGGGACACGCGGGGGGGAGGGAGCAGGGGCGGGGCGGCCGUUAGUCAGGGAACAGCGGCGGCGCCACUUGGCGGAGCCAACCCGCGCCUCACUCGCACUCUCGGGACUUGGGGGGGCGGGGGGCGCAGCUCCCCAGGGCCGCUCUGACGGGAAUAAGGAGAGGCGGAGCCAGGAGGCCGCUCCGCGCUUCUCUUCUCCCCUCCACACGCACGUGAAGAGCUACGUGCGGCGCACGCGGAGAGGCUCGCGCUGUUCCCUCUGCGCGCGGCCCCGGCUCGCCUCGCCUCUUACAGGCACGCAUGAAAAACUCUUCAAAACAACAAACUCCUGUUACUUCAUUCCGCGAGGGGGCGGGGCUGAGUCACGUGCUACGGGGGAAGCCCCGAUGCUGCGCGUGCGCGUGCGCGACCGGGAGCCUCACACUCCGUUUCGAGAGAGUCGUCUGCCGCCGCCUCCUGCUGAGGAAUGGGGAGGGGCCGCAGGGCGCGUCAUGGGGCGGGGCGGGGCGGGGGGGGGGCUACGCGGUGCGCGAGGAGUAACGGCCGACGUUUACAGCGGCAGCGGUGGAGCAUUUCUGGAGAUGUUGUACAGCUGAUUUACAUUCAUGGAAGGUUGUAUUAAUCCUUUUUACCCUGCUCCAUUGUGGAUUUUAUAUAUACCCAUUAUCUCUCUGACUGUAGAUAUGAUUUCUGGGAACUCCACCAAUGAUAUUUCAGAAUGGGUGGAGAUCCCUGAGACAGAUUGACAGCAUUUAAGAUGAUUAGUAAUGGAGUCCUUUAAAGAGGCCUGUGUUAAAAUAAAAAAGGUUGAGGUCCAAAUCCUCAAAGGUAAUUAUUAGGCACCUACCUUCCCUUAAAAUCAAUGGGAGUUAGGUUCCUAAAUAACUUUGAUGACCUGGGCCUGAGGGGUUAUGUUAGUGUGGAAAAGAUUGCAUUAUGGAAAUCAAGUAAAUUUAAGAAAAAAAUUAUCUUCUCUGUGCCAGUUGGGUGGGUGUCAGCCAUUUUACUUAAGGUAUUUGUUUCUGUUUUGCCUUUUUAUUUUUUGGUUGGAGAACCCAUUAGGUGAAAGACAGCAAUUUACAUUAAGUCUCACCAUUUGGCUCUCCUGUGGCCUUGCUCUCAUAAUAACAAAAAAAGAUGCUGUGACCUGGUAGUUUCUGAUCAAUAGCUCAGCCAUGUGUGAAGCCAUUAUUUUCACCAUUUUACCAGCUUACACAAUUUAGAGGUCCUUGGAUCAUUUUGGAUAAGAAGGUUGUCUAAACACAGUGACUGUACCUCCCAAGUUCUUACAGAAUUUCUAAUUCUUAUUCACUAAUUUGAUUUCACAAUAGCACAUAAAGUAAGAACAUAGAAUUAAAUACUUACACAAUAAGCAUCUUUCUAUUUGUAAAAAAACUCAAAUUUAUAAAAUGACAUUUGUGGUGUAAGCGUGACUGCAUUAUAAGAGAAGUGAUUGGAAUAAUUCACUGAAAUCUCAGGGACAAAAACACUGUAUAAAUGCAAUAUUCACAUUCAUUCACAAUAUUUUUAUUAGGGAAACUAAAUAUUUUUCUUAUUUCUCAUAGGAAGGUUAUUGGGCCUCUUGUGAAUACUACCACAAGAUAUCAAUAGCAUAUGUUAGAUGUAACAGGCUUAAUAUUUAUACAUAUACAGAGACACUAAUUCUGAUUUGGUAUUACGGUAGAAUCAGGCCCAUCAUGUACAAUUUUUCAGCUGUGUGUCAAACAACAGUAAAAUGUAAGAUUUUUCUGUAUCCUCUAUGGGAAGGGGAUAGACCUUGAUCCUAAGUCUUUUCCAUCAUUAACUAUCAUCCAAAAAUUGUUUACAUACAUCCUGUUUGUCUAUUUAUGUCAAUUACUAAAUUCAGACAUCUGAUGUGCAUAGAGAGGGAGCAAACAAGCAGGUAGGCCAUUAGAGGAGCCAGCUACUCUCAAAAUAUGAGGCAUUUUGCUUCUCCUCCAGAAAAAUUACAUGAUGGAAGAAAACAUGCACAUCCUUUGCAAAGUUGGUCUGUUUGGUCCUGCGCAGAAAACAGCCAAGCAGUGAGACUGAGAUUGUAUUGACAAGAACAAGAUGAAUGACCCCCUGGAGACCAUGGGAUGCACACAUGGCUGUUGCAGACAAGGCCCGGCUCAUAAAAGUGGGACAGUAAUUCUACAAACUGUGGCAUAAGGACAGGCUGGUGGGAGGCUGUAAAAGGAGCAGGAACAAAUUGUGGGGCAGAUGAGCUAUGGAAGAAGAAAGAAGAGGAAAGUCCAGAACAUGGAGGGAAACUGUAUAGCAGGCCAGUCCCAAAGGCAGUAAAAGAAAAUCCCUUCAAAAGGGGGCAGCAUGUGCCUCCAAGAAGUAAGUAAACAAGAGUGAUGAGGCAUAGAGGAGUCCCAAUAUUGGGGCAGCAGGGACUGAACUGGACCCAGAAGAAACUCCUAAGGGCAAGAGGGAGGUUCCUGGUCAGUGAAAAUAGCUGCCUUAGGUGGGGAACGAGACCAAAAAUAGGCCCAAGCUAGGGAGCAGCCCUGUGGAAUGUGGGAAAUCAGUAAAAGACCUUAAUCAGGAGAAGAGCAGCUACCAGAAAAUGGCAGGAGCACAAAAGGAGCCAGUUAGUUGCAGCCACAGGAGCACCAAGUUAGGCAACCCACAGGGAGGGAGGAAAGGACAGUGUUUCCACCCCUAAUACUAUUAUUUUUUAUUUGUAUUUCAGGAGCACUCAGCCACCACAACUAAAAUCCAGAUCCCCAUAGUAGGAGAAAGUCUUUUCUGAUGUACUGAUAAUCUAACUAGACAAAGAGUGGGAAAAAAAAAUAUUAUUCCCAGUUGGGGAACUGUGGCACAGAAGGAAUAAAAGACUUACUCAUGGUAACACAGGAAGUCAUUGGCUGAGUCAGAAAUGGAACCCUCAUUCUACUGCAUCCCAGUCCAGGGCCUUAACAACAAGACCAGCCGUCUUCUCUGUAGUGCCUUCUCUGUAUGUCUCACCAGUUUUUGGCAAAGAAGGGUCAAUUCUGAGGAGCUGGAAACUCUUGUCUGGGCCAACAGAUUUCAGGUGUUAGUGAGAAGUUUGGUUUAGCUAACUUACACAGUACCAAUAUAGAGUUUGAAACACAAAUGCAGUGCAUAAGCUGUGCUUUCACUUCCUGUGGGAACCACCUGUGGCCACAGAUUCCAAACCUGUUAGCACCAUCUCUGCCUCCAAAAGAGAAAAUGCGCCAAUGCAGCAGAACAAAAAAAUCUUAAAAUAACAAUUUCAGAGAAUUUUGCAGCCAGGACCACAAAUUUGCCUAGUGAUCCCUUUCUGUGCUUGUGCUAGGAACAAGUUUUUCACCCUCCUGAAUCAAAAGUGCUGCAGUGAACUGAGAGUUUAGGACCAAAUUCUAUAUCCUUACUUAUGCAGAGUAAGAUUGUCAUUGAGACAGACUUAAAUAUAAAGAGCCAAAUCACAGUGCUAUGCAAGAUUACUUAAGUGAGUAAAGUUUACAGCAUGGCCUUGCCCUUUCUUGCUUGCCAAAUGAAGAACUUGAAGAAUCGAAGAAAGUGGUUUCCAUGGGACCAAGGAAUCUUGGUCAUACUCAGAAGCCAAAUGUAGUUAAGGCUGUAAAAAUUAUACAACACACAAAUCUGUAGAUCACUUUUACCUGUAUUCAUCCUUGACAACUAAAUUAUUAAAAUGAGUAGCCUUUUCUUUCAAUCUAAUUUUAAAUAUUGGCAUGUUUUAUCUUAAAUAAAUCAGGUACUCCUUGAAAAAUCUCAAAGAUUUUUCAUAAUUUGUAUA